rnacentral:rRNA from 1 species
UACGUAGGGUGCAAGCGUUGUCCGGAAUUAUUGGGCGUAAAGAGCUCGUAGGCGGUGUGUCGCGUCGGCCGUGAAAACCUGCAGCUUAACUGUGGGCUUGCGGUCGAUACGGGCAUCACUGGAGUUCGGCAGGGGAGACUGGAAUUCCUGGUGUAGCGGUGAAAUGCGUAGAUAUCGGAGGAACACCGGUGGCGAAGGCGCGAUCCUGGACCGGCAUUGGACGCUGAGGCGCGAAAGCCAGGGGAGCCAA